rnacentral:rRNA from 1 species
UACGUAGGGGGCAAGCGUUGUCCGGAAUUAUUGGGCGUAAAGAGCGCGUAGGCGGUCCGAUAAGUCGGCUGUGAAAGUCAGGGGCUCAACCCUUGAAAGCCGGCCGAUACUGUCGGACUAGAGUCCGGAAGAGGCGAGUGGAAUUCCCGGUGUAGCGGUGAAAUGCGCAGAUAUCGGGAGGAACACCAAUGGCGAAGGCAGCUCUCUGGGACGUUACUGACGCUGAGGCGCGAAAGCGUGGGGAGCGAACAGG